rnacentral:lncRNA from 1 species
AAAUUAUAGGGAUUUAAGUAAAGAUUUGUUGGCCAAAGAAGAUUGGCGUGCUGGGCUUAUUCAUUAUCGUCCAAGAUUUUCAGAAGGCCAACUGGGUCUAGCGGGGCAGGCUUUGGAUUAGGGCCUAUAGUUAAUUGUAUUGGGUUGGUCUGCUCAUUAACGACUCAGAAGUGUGUAAUUAGUAAUCGUGUCAAAUGGAUUCAUGCCAUAAGUCGGCUACAACACUUGUCAAUCCUAUGUAAUCUACGAUACAACUGUAAUCCAGCCUGAUAUUACCAUAAGAAUGUGAUUAUAAUAUAAUUCCAUUUGAAGUAGAUAUUUUACAUUGCCAAAGUUCAAAAAAA